UCAAAAUCCAUAAACAAAAGCCCUAAGAAUCAUGAAGAAAAUAUAAUAUAGAUCUAACAUACCACAUCCAUGAGAAUUUCAACGAGGCUGACAUGGUUCAUGAUAACAACAGCAGUUUCACGAGAAGCUUCACAUUUGAGACCAGAAGGUUUCGGUCCAAUCCCUCUUGGAAAUGAUCUGAUGGCCACAAUUAGGACAAGAUGCAUUGCUAAGAGCUUCCCUAUACCUCAUGUUAUCUGCUCGAUACCCAUAAAAAUAUAUAUAGAUGAUCAUUUACCACUUGUAAAGCGCCAUUGUAGUUCCCGGCCACCCCAGUUGACAACACUUCAACAGUCAUUGCUCUUGAGACUAUAGCAGAGAAAACCGUAGACCAUUGGUUCUAAAAAAUUAAAAAACAAUCAAAAGUAAAAAACCAUAAACAAAAGCCCUAAGAAUCAUGAAGAAAAUAUAAUAUAGAUCUAACAUACCACAUCCAUGAGAAUUUCAACGAGGCUGACAUGGUUCAUGAUAACAACAGCAGUUUCACGAGAAGCUUCACAUUUGAGACCAGAAGGUUUCGGUCCAAUCCCUCUUGGAAAUGAUCUGAUGUAUUCAUCCUCGUUCAGCACAGCAUCAGAUCCAUCGAGUGUAGAUAACCAGAGAGGAUCACCCAUUUGCGCCAUCCCUAUGAGCUCCUCCAUGGCCACAACAGCUAGCUCUAUU
rnacentral:lncRNA from 1 species